CAUAUCAUGUUGAAAUACCGGUUCCGGUACGAUCUCCGAAGUUAAGCACUGUUUAGUCUGGUCAGUACCUAAAUGGGUGACUGCUUGGGAAUAGC